UAAGCAUAUCAAUAAGCGGAGGAAAAGAAACUAACAAGGAUUCCCCUAGUAACUGCGAGUGAAGCGGGAAAAGCUCAAAUUUAAAAUCUGGUGGCCUUUGGCCAUCCGAGUUGUAAUUUAGAGAAGUGUCUUCCGCGCUGGACCGUGCACAAGUCUCCUGGAAUGGAGCGUCAUAGAGGGUGAGAAUCCCGUCUUUGGCACGGACUCCCGGUGCUUUUGCGAUGCGCUCUCGAAGAGUCGAGUUGUUUGGGAAUGCAGCUCAAAAUGGGUGGUGAACUCCAUCUAAAGCUAAAUACUGGCGAGAGACCGAUAGCGAACAAGUACCGUGAGGGAAAGAUGAAAAGCACUUUGGAAAGAGAGUGAAACAGUACGUGAAAUUGUUGAAAGGGAAACGCUUGAAGUCAGUCGCGUCGACCGAGACUCAGCCUUGCCUCGGCUUGGUGUGCUUCUCGGCUCGACGGGUCAGCAUCAAUUUCGAUCCUCGGAUAAUGGCAAGGGAAAGGUAGCACCUUUUUAGGUGUGUUAUAGUCCUCUGUCGCAUGCGAGGGUUGGGAUUGAGGAACUCAGCACGCACCUCCGGGUGUCGGGGUCUUUGCCCACGUUACGUGCUUAGGAUGCUGGCGUAAUGGCUUUAAACGACCCGUCUUGAAACACGGACCAAGGAGUCUAACAUACCCGCGAGUGUUCGGGUGGAAAACCCGUGCGCGUAAUGAAAGUAAAAGUUGGGACCUCUGUCGUGGAGGGCACCGACGCCCGGACCAGACCUUCUGUGACGGCUCUGCGGUAGAGCGUGUAUGUUGGGACCCGAAAGAUGGUGAACUAUGCCUGAAUAGGGUGAAGCCAGAGGAAACUCUGGUGGAGGCUCGUAGCGAUUCUGACGUGCAAAUCGAUCGUCAAAUUUGGGUAUAGGGGCGAAAGACUAAUCGAACCAUCUAGUAGCUGG
rnacentral:rRNA from 1 species